rnacentral:lncRNA from 1 species
UCUCUCUCUGUUUGUGUGCUCGUGCCGCGAAGACAUUACAAGAAGAAAUUAGUAGAAAAGGGAUACAUAUGUCAAACAAGUACUAACAGUACUCAAAGAUCUAAAAAGUAGAAGCCCAACCUUCUCAAGCUUCACUUUUUAAUUAAAGGCUGUGAAUAGAAGAGGAGCAAGCAAUAUCUGUUUUCAUGUUCUACUAUGAAGGCUAUGUUACUUGGAUUAUCAACAGGGUACGAAAUGCUAGACUACAUUCCUUUAUCACAUCCUUGCACGCUAUUUAUGUGAUUUGGACUGU